rnacentral:rRNA from 5 species
AGACCCGAAACCCGGUGAUCUAGCCAUGGGCAGGUUGAAGGUUGGGUAACACUAACUGGAGGACCGAACCGACUAAUGUUGAAAAAUUAGCGGAUGACCUGUGGCUGGGGGUGAAAGGCCAAUCAAACCGGGAGAUAGCUGGUUCUCCCCGAAAGCUAUUUAGGUAGCGCCUCGUGAAUUCAUCUCCGGGGGUAGAGCACUGUUUCGGCUAGGGGGCCAUCCCGGCUUACCAACCCGAUGCAAACUGCGAAUACCGGAGAAUGUUAUCACGGGAGACACACGGCGGGUGCUAACGUCCGUCGUGAAGAGGGAAACAACCCAGACCGCCAGCUAAGGUCCCAAAGUCAUGGUUAAGUGGGAAACGAUGUGGGAAGGCCCAGACAGCCAGGAUGUUGGCUUAGAAGCAGCCAUCAUUUAAAGAAAGCGUAAUAGCUCACUGGUCGAGUCGGCCUGCGCGGAAGAUGUAACGGGGCUAAACCAUGCACCGAAGCUGCGGCAGCGAACGUAUCACCCAAGACAACUUUACGGAGUUGACGAUUGACGGAGCGAAGCGACGUCAAAGCGUUCAUUAAAGUCGAGUUGGCUUAGGGAUACGUUCGUUGGGUAGGGGAGCGUUCUGUAAGCCUGUGAAGGUGUGUCGUGAGGCAUGCUGGAGGUAUCAGAAGUGCGAAUGCUGACAUAAGUAACGAUAAAGCGGGUGAAAAGCCCGCUCGCCGGAAGACCAAGGGUUCCUGUCCAACGUUAAUCGGGGCAGGGUGAGUCGACCCCUAAGGCGAGGCCGAAAGGCGUAGUCGAUGGGAAACGGGUUAAUAUUCCCGUACUUGGUGUUACUGCGAAGGGGGGACGGAGAAGGCUAUGUUGGCCGGGCGACGGUUGUCCCGGUUUAAGCGUGUAGGUGUGUGUUCCAGGUAAAUCCGGUUCACUUUAACACUGAGGCGUGACGACGAGGCACUACGGUGCUGAAGCAACAAAUGCCCUGCUUCCAGGAAAAGCCUCUAAGCAUCAGGUAACAUCAAAUCGUACCCCAAACCGACACAGGUGGUCAGGUAGAGAAUACCAAGGCGCUUGAGAGAACUCGGGUGAAGGAACUAGGCAAAAUGGUGCCGUAACUUCGGGAGAAGGCACGCUGACACGUAGGUGAAGUGAUUUACUCAUGGAGCUGAAGUCAGUCGAAGAUACCAGCUGGCUGCAACUGUUUAUUAAAAACACAGCACUGUGCAAACACGAAAGUGGACGUAUACGGUGUGACGCCUGCCCGGUGCCGGAAGGUUAAUUGAUGGGGUCAGCGCAAGCGAAGCUCCUGAUCGAAGCCCCGGUAAACGGCGGCCGUAACUAUAACGGUCCUAAGGUAGCGAAAUUCCUUGUCGGGUAAGUUCCGACCUGCACGAAUGGCGUAAUGAUGGCCAGGCUGUCUCCACCCGAGACUCAGUGAAAUUGAACUCGCUGUGAAGAUGCAGUGUACCCGCGGCAAGACGGAAAGACCCCGUGAACCUUUACUAUAGCUUGACACUGAACAUUGAGCCUUGAUGUGUAG